GCAGACACAUUCCAGCCAAUCAGCAGUAGACCCUCCCUCCCACACUCUCCCACCUCCUGGACAGCAUCCAUUUUGAAGCUGCAUUCUUAGUGAGCUGUCCAGGAGGUGGGAGGGUCUGGGAGGGAGUGUCUGCUGCUGAUUGGCUGGAAUGUGUCUG